GGGUCCAUAGCUCAGUGGUAAAGCAUUUGACUGCAGAUCAAGAAGUCACUAGUUCAAACCUGGUUGGGUCCU